rnacentral:lncRNA from 1 species
AAAGCCAGCAGAUAGUAUCACCAGUGAUAUAUUGAACUUGACAAUGAAUGAUCUGAACUUCCUCAAAAUAUCCAGUAACAACCACUUUUGUAGGAUCCCACAGGAUCUAAAUCCUCCCAUUUACAGCACCACUAUAGUUAGUUAUCAUGUUCCAGUGAGGCAACAAAAAACUAGCUAUUCUACUAGCAUUGUGUUGUUUAACCUUAGUCUCUACAAGUCCUACAAGGUCAAACUUAUUAUUUCUAAAGUAAUUUUGAGCUUCUUUUUGUUUAAACCUUUUAUUUACACCCCUAAUAUUCCAAAAGAUCCACUUUAUUGAGUUUUACUAGUUCCCCCUUCAUCCAGGGGAUGAUCAGCCCACCUAACUGUCCCUACUUCAAAUCUGUUAGACAUCACAAUAGGAGAUAAAGGAGGAAAAUUAGCAAUGUUGAAAACUGGAGAGUCUUGAACAACCUGCUUCUGUCUGUUCCCAAUGUCAGCUGUAGCUGUAAUGCUUGGCUCCUUAAUUACCUCUUGACACUGGAUGUGAGGCAUCUGGUUGUUUUGGACUGCUGUACCUGGUGCUUUCACUCUCCAUUCUUGUGUCACCUUACUUUUCUGUGUAGGUUGAGUAGUUUUAGUUAAACAGUUGUGUCCAACCUCCAAACAUUUCUCACAAUACAUAGGUUUCCACUC